GACGAACGCUGGCGGCGUGCCUAAUACAUGCAAGUCGAGCGAACUUAACCUAUAGUUUACUAUUGGAGCGGUUAGUGGCGGACUGGUGAGCAACGCGUAAGCAAUCUGCCUAUCAGAGGGGAAUAACAGUGAGAAAUCACUGCUAAUACCGCAUAAGCUGUGAGUAUCGCAUGAUACAAGCAGAAAAGGAGCAAUCCGCUGAUAGAUGGGCUUGCGUCUGAUUAGUUAGUUGGUAGGGUAACGGCCUACCAAGACGAUGAUCAGUAGCCGGACUGAGAGGUUGAACGGCCACAUUGGGACUGAGAUACGGCCCAG
rnacentral:rRNA from 1 species